rfam:Triticum aestivum genome assembly, contig: Triticum_aestivum_CS42_TGACv1_scaffold_577794_7BL
CUAGUACUCCCUCCGUCCGGAAAUACUUGUCGGAGAAAUGGAUAUAUCUAGACGUAUGUUAGUUCUAGAUACAUCUAUUUUUAUCCAUUUUUGCGACAAUUAUUUCCAGACGGAGAGAGUAUUAG